UAUGAAUCAGUGAAACUUAGCAAAGUAAACAGCAAACAAUUUAGAGGGGGUUGUCCUACAAAGAGAGAUUGAACAGAAGAGCCCUAUACUCUAGAGUUUUAAAGAAUGACAGCAUUUCAGAUGAAAAAUCAUACCUCGGGACAAGAGGUCAGCCAUUUUGGACUGCGAUAGGAAGGAUUGAAAGCUUUGCAGCUUUAAAUUACAGAACUUCUAGGAUUGCCUGGCAGAAAGAGUUUGCUGGAAAUUAAUUGCAUUUUACUUGACACAGAGGAAAUAUUCAAAAUCAUAUCAUAGUCAUACCUGUGUACCUAUUACUAACCAGCUUAUGAUACUAAUGACAGGAAUAGAAUGGCACUGUAUCUUGUUGAGCAAAGACUAUUAAGAGAAACGAUGUAUGAGUGCUGGUAAGCAGCAUCUGUAUUGGCUGUGGGACGUGCUGGCUGCUACUUCCAUGUUCGGUUGAGCAGGAAAAGGCACAGCACGAACAUAGUAUGGCUAUGAUUAAGAUUAAAAUAUUUUGAUGUAAUGAAA